UUAUUCCAUUGGCAGACAAAUGCACUAGACUUAGAUUCUAACUAUUCAUCA
rnacentral:tRNA from 1 species